rfam:Punica granatum cultivar Dabenzi C5262996, whole genome shotgun sequence.
GUCACUUUGGAGACAUCCGAUAAAACUGGAACAUUAGAGAGAAGAUUAGCGGGCCCCUGCGUAAGGAUGACGAGCAUAAAUCGAGAAAAGGGUACAAGUUCUUU